rnacentral:rRNA from 1 species
CAGCCGCCGCGGUAAUACGUAGGUGGCAAGCGUUGUCCGGAAUUAUUGGGCGUAAAGCGCGCGCAGGCGGAUCAGUCAGUCUGUCUUAAAAGUUCGGGGCUUAACCCCGUGAGGGGAUGGAAACUGCUGAUCUAGAGUAUCGGAGAGGAAAAUGGAAUUCCUAGUGUAGCGGUGAAAUGCGUAGAUAUUAGGAAGAACACCAGUGGCGAAGGCGACUUUCUGGACGAAAACUGACGCUGAGGCGCGAAAGCCAGGGGAGCGAACGGGAUUAGAUACCCCAGUAGUCCCUGUCUCUUAUACA